AGUGAACGCUGGCGGUAGGCCUAACACAUGCAAGUCGAACGGCAGCACAGUAAGAGCUUGCCCUUACGGGUGGCGAGUGGCGGACGGGUGAGGAAUACAUCGGAAUCUACUUUUUCGUGGGGGACAACGUAGGGAAACUUACGCUAAUACCGCAUACGACCUACGGGUGAAAGCAGGGGAUCUUCGGACCUUGCGCGACUGAAUGAGCCGAUGUCGGAUUAGCUAGUUGGCGGGGUAAAGGCCCACCAAGGCGACGAUCCGUAGCUGGUCUGAGAGGAUGAUCGGCCACACUGGAACUGAGACACGGUCCAGACUCCUACGGGAGGCAGCAGUGGGGAAUCUUGGACAAUGGGCGCAAGCCUGAUCCAGCCAUACCGCGUGGGUGAAGAAGGCCUUCGGGUUGUAAAGCCCUUUUGUUGGGAAAGAAAAGCAGCAGGUUAAUCCCCCGCUGUUCUGACGGUACCCAAAGAAUAAGCACCGGCUAACUUCGUG
rnacentral:rRNA from 1 species